rnacentral:rRNA from 1 species
UACGUAGGUGACCAGCGUUGUCCGGAUUUACUGGGCGUAAAGAGCGCGCAGGCGGUCGUUCAAGUCGAGUGUGAAAGCCCCCGGCUCAACUGGGGAGGGUCAUUCGAUACUGAUCGACUGGAAGGCAGGAGAGGGAAGCGGAAUUCCCGGUGUAGUGGUGAAAUUCGUAGAUAUCGGGAGGAACACCAGUGGCGAAGGCGGCAUCCUGGACCGACAUUGACGCUGAUGAGCGAAAGCUAGGGGAGCAAACGGG